rnacentral:tRNA from 2 species
CGGGGUGGAGCAGCUCGGUAGCUCGUCGGGCUCAUAACCCGAAGGUCGUCGGUUCAAAUCCGGCCCCCGCAACCA